rnacentral:rRNA from 1 species
UACAGAGGUCCCAAGCGUUGUUCGGAUUCAUUGGGCGUAAAGGGUGCGUAGGUGGCGCGCUAAGUCAGGUGUGAAAUCUCGGGGCUUAACUCCGAAACUGCAUUUGAUACUGGCGUGCUUGAGGACUGGAGAGGAGACUGGAAUUUACGGUGUAGCAGUGAAAUGCGUAGAGAUCGUAAGGAAGACCAGUGGCGAAGGCGGGUCUCUGGACAGUUCCUGACACUGAGGCACGAAGGCCAGGGGAGCAAACGG